AUUGAACGCUGGCGGAAUGCUUUACACAUGCAAGUCGAACGGUAGAGGGGGCAACCCCCUUGAGAGUGGCGAACGGGUGAGUAAUAUAUCGGAACGUGCCCAGUCGUGGGGAUAACGUAGCGAAAGUUACGCUAAUACCGCAUACGAUCUACGGAUGAAAGCGGGGGACUCGCAAGAGCCUCGCGCGAUUGGAGCGGCCGAUAUCAGAUUAGGUAGUUGGUGGGGUAAAGGCUCACCAAGCCAACGAUCUGUAGCUGGUCUGAGAGGACGACCAGCCACACUGGAACUGAGACACGGUCCAGACUCCUACGGGAGGCAGCAGUGGGGAAUUUUGGGACAAUGGACGCAAGUCUGAUCCAGCCAUUCCGCGUGCAGGAUGAAGGCCCUCGGGUUGUAAACUGCUUUUGUACGGUAACGAAAAGGUUUCUAUUAAUACUAGGAGCUCAUGACGGUACCGUAAGAAUAAGACACCGGCUAACUACGUGCCAGCAGCCGCGG
rnacentral:rRNA from 1 species